UACAGAGGGUGCGAGCGUUAAUCGGAAUUACUGGGCGUAAAGCGUGCGUAGACGGUUAUUUAAGUCGGAUGUGAAAGCCCCGGGCUCAACCUGGGAAUUGCAUUCGAGACUGAAUAGCUAGGGUGCGGUAGAGGGAAGCGGAAUUUCCGGUGUAGCGGUGAAAUGCGUAGAGAUGUGGAGGAACACCGAUGGCGAAGGCAGCCCCCUGGGCCGACACUGACGCUCAGGCACGAAAGCGUGGGGAGCAAACAGG
rnacentral:rRNA from 1 species